CUUGCGGCUAUAUCACGUUGAAAUACCGGUUACCGUAGGAGCACCGAAGUUAAGCAACGUCGAGCCUGCUCAAUACCUAGAUGGGUGACCACUUCGAAAUACGAAGUACU